GGAAAUAACUCAGUGAUCGAGCACAUGCUUAAUGAGCACAAGUUUCUGGGUUCAAUUCCCAGUACUUCCA
rnacentral:tRNA from 1 species